rnacentral:tRNA from 1 species
GGCGGCGCCGCUAGGCAGCCAGCAGUGCCGCGAGCGCGGGCAGUCCACUGCACCACGGGUUCGAUUCCCGUCGCCGCCA